rnacentral:rRNA from 1 species
UACGGGGGGGGCAAGCGUUGUUCGGAAUUACUGGGCGUAGAGGGCUCGUAGGCGGCCAACUAAGUCAGACGUGAAAUCCCCAGGCUCAACCUGGGAACUGCGUCUGAUACUGGAUGGCUUGAAUCCGGGAGAGGGAUGCAGAAUUCCAGGUGUAGCGGUGAAAUGCGUAGAUAUCUGGAGGAAUACCGGUGGCGAAGGCGGCAUCCUGGACCGGCAUUGACGCUGAGGAGCGAAAGCGUGGGGAGCAAACAGG